rnacentral:rRNA from 1 species
GAUGAACGCUGGCGGCGUGCCUAAUACAUGCAAGUCGAGCGAACAGACGAGGAGCUUGCUCCUCUGACGUUAGCGGCGGACGGGUGAGUAACACGUGGAUAACCUACCUAUAAGACUGGGAUAACUUCGGGAAACCGGAGCUAAUACCGGAUAAUAUAUUGAAACGCAUGGUUCAAUAGUGAAAGACGGUUUUGCUGUCACUUAUAGAUGGAUCCGCGCCGCAUUAGCUAGUUGGUAAGGUAACGGCUUACCAAGGCAACGAUGCGUAGCCGACCUGAGAGGGGGAUGGCCCACCUGGGACUGGACACCGGGCCCAGCUCCCAAGGGGGGCAGCAGGUGGGGAAUUUUGCGAAAGGGGGGAAGCCCUAACGGGCCAAAGCGGGGGGGAGGAGAAGGGCUUUGGGUUGUAAAACCCUUUUUUUGGGGAAAAAAAAAAUGUGUAAGAAACCACGCCGGUCUGAAGGGACCCAAAGAAGAAGCCCCGGCUAACUUCGGG